rnacentral:rRNA from 1 species
GAUGAACGCUGGCGGCGUGCCUAAUACAUGCAAGUCGAGCGAACAGACGAGGAGCUUGCUCCUCUGACGUUAGCGGCGGACGGGUGAGUAACACGUGGAUAACCUACCUAUAAGACUGGGAUAACUUCGGGAAACCGGAGCUAAUACCGGAUAAUAUGUUGAACCGCAUGGUUCAACAGUGAAAGACGGUCUUGCUGUCACUUAUAGAUGGAUCCGCGCCGCAUUAGCUAGUUGGUAAGGUAACGGCUUACCAAGGCAACGAUGCGUAGCCGACCUGAGAGGGUGAUCGGCCACACUGGAACUGAGACACGGUCCAGACUCCUACGGGAGGCAGCAGUAGGGAAUCUUCCGCAAUGGGCGAAAGCCUGACGGAGCAACGCCGCGUGAGUGAAGAAGGUCUUCGGAUCGUAAAACUCUGUUAUUAGGGAAGAACAAAUGUGUAAGUAACUGUGCACGUCUUGACGGUACCUAAUCAGAAAGCCACGGCUAACUACGUG